rnacentral:rRNA from 1 species
UACGUAGGUGGCAAGCGUUGUCCGGAAUUAUUGGGCGUAAAGCGCGCGCAGGCGGUCCUUUAAGUCUGAUGUGAAGGCCCACGGCUCAACCGUGGAGGGUCAUUGGAAACUGGGGGACUUGAGUACAGAAGAGAAGAGUGGAAUUCCACGUGUAGCGGUGAAAUGCGUAGAGAUGUGGAGGAACACCAGUGGCGAAGGCGACUCUUUGGUCUGUAACUGACGCUGAGGCGCGAAAGCGUGGGGAGCAAACAGG